UGCAAAAGUUCAGAGCGGUAAGGCCCUUUCGGGGGUACACGAGCGGCGAACGGGUGAGUAACACAUGAGUAAUCUGCCCUUCACUUCGGGAUAACCACCGGAAACGGUGGCUAAUACCGGAUAUGACUGCUGCGCGCAUGCGUGGUGGUGGAAAGUUCCGGCGGUGGAGGAUGAGCUCGCGGCCUAUCAGCUUGUUGGUGGGGUGAUGGCCUACCAAGGCGACGACGGGUAGCCGGCCUGAGAGGGUGACCGGCCACACUGGGACUGAGACACGGCCCAGACUCCUACGGGAGGCAGCAGUGGGGAAUAUUGGACAAUGGGCGAAAGCCUGAUCCAGCAACGCCGCGGGAGGGAUGACGGCCUUCGGGUUGUAAACCUCUUUCAGCGGGGACGAAGCGCAAGUGACGGUACCCGCAGAGGAAGCUUCUUUUUUUUCUACGUGCCAGCAGCCGCGGUAAUA
rnacentral:rRNA from 1 species